UACGGAGGGGGCUAGCGUUGUUCGGAAUUACUGGGCGUAAAGGGCUCGUAGGCGGCCAACUAAGUCGGACGUGAAAUCCCUCGGCUUAACCGGGGAACUGCGUCCGAUACUGGAUGGCUUGAGUUUGGGAGAGGGAUGCGGAAUUCCAGGUGUAGCGGUGAAAUGCGUAGAUAUCAGGAGGAACACCGGCGGUGUAGACGGCUUUCUGGACCGUAGCUGACGCUGAGACACGAAAGCGUGGGUAGCAAACAGG
rnacentral:rRNA from 1 species